CUGAGGCUUCAGGCAGGCUCACUUGGGUCAGGGCUAGGGGAAGGGACUCCUACCUUCUAUUAAGUGCCUCUCUAGCAUUAAGAACCCUGUUAAGGGACCCAUAUACUAGCGAUUCAGCUCCAGAAAGGACCUUCAAGGCAGCAGAUGGCUUUGAAGCAGCAGCAUUGAACUGAGGCUGUUUUACAGUGGUGGACAAAGCAGAGAUGAAGUGGUUUGUGUUCAAGCAGUAGCGAGUAACUGCCUAUUUGAAGGACUCCAGAGUGGGUCUCCCUACUCAGCAAUCAAAGCUGAAAUCACUUCAGCUGGGUCAGGUGGUAGCACCAGGAGAGCAGCCCAGCCUACACUUUCCUUAGGGCUGGAGACUCAUCUGCCAGAACUCUUGGAUUCCACCAACCCAGGUGCAGCACAGACUGUAGCAGUGCAAGCUAUCCCCAUACCUCUGUGUUCAUGUACCUCAACCAGAGACGACCUCUGCUGGUGACAGGACUUUCGCUGAUUAGAAGGAGAAGAAAGAGAACGUAGGAGGAUAUGUUCACCGAGAUAAUGAAUGCC